CGAGGUCCAUGGAGGCUUGCUCCGGAAGACCUAGUGGCGAACGGGUGCGUAACACGUGAGAAAUCUGCCCCGGACUCUGGAAUAACAGUUGGAAACGACUGCUAAUACCGGAUGCCUUCAUUUGGCCGCAUGGUCGUUUGAAGAAAGAUUUAUCGGUUUGGGAGGAUCUCGCGGCCUAUCAGCUUGUUGGAGAGGUAACGGCUCACCAAGGCAUCGACGGGUAGCUGGUCUGAGAGGAUGAUCAGCCACACUGGAACUGAGACACGGUCCAGACUCCUACGGGAGGCAGCAGUGGGGAAUCUUGCACAAUGGGCGAAAGCCUGAUGCAGCGAUGCCGCGUGCGGGAAGAAGGCCCUAGGGUUGUAAACCGCUUUCAGGAGGGAAGGAAAUGACGGUACCUCCAGAAGAAGGUGCGGCCAACUACGUGCCAGCAGCCGCGGUGACACGUAGGCACCAAGCGUUAUCCGGAUUUAUUGGGCGUAAAGAGCUCGUAGGCGGUUUGGUAAGUCGGGUGUGAAAACUCUGGGCUCAACCCAGAGAGGCCACUCGAUACUGCUAUGACUAGAGUACGGUAGGGGAGCGGGGAAUUCCUGGUGUAGCGGUGAAAUGCGCAGAUAUCAGGAGGAACACCAGCGGCGAAGGCGCCGCUCUGGGCCGUAACUGACGCUGAGGAGCGAAAGCAUGGGUAGCAAACAGGAUUAGAUACCCUGGUAGUCCAUGCCGUAAACGUUGGGCACUAGGUGUGGGUCUCAACCAACGAGAUCCGCGCCGUCGCUAACGCAUUAAGUGCCCCGCCUGGGGAGUACGGUCGCAAGACUAAAACUCAAAGGAUUGACGGGGGCCCGCACAAGCAGCGGAGCGUGUGGUUU
rnacentral:rRNA from 1 species